GGGAAGAGGCUGGCAUAGAGUUCCCAGGGGGUACCCAGCAGACAGACAGCUCUGUAAUUUGGGGGAGAAGAAGAGUUGUCCUUUUUGUGUACUGGAUAGGCUGUGCUCUGAGCCCGUUCCAUGAAUUAAGAUCACUCAGUUACUUUGCAAGGAAGGAGUCCAGAACAUCAACCAGAAGAGGGUAUAAAUAAUUCUGGAGGGAAAAGAGCAUCUUUCCAGGAACCUCUGCAUCUGAAGGGGUGGCUGAUUUAGUUGUCUGGUGUUUGCCAUGGGACAUAGGCUUUCCUUGGAACCUCUGGAGCUGAGUGUCCCAGGACCUGGGUCCAUAUCCGACUCCAGCCUUGUUCCACUUUAUGCUGUUUCCAGUCAGCCCUGAGCCCACGUGGGCACCACUGUCUUGCCCAACCGGGCCUCAGUGCUCUAUGAUCCUGAGUGUUGGGAGACUCCCCUGACAGUUCGACUCUGGCCACUUCCUGGACAAGGACAGAAACUUCAUGGUCAGUGAAGCCUUCCUGCCAUUCUCUCUAGGGAUUGAUUGCUGGCCUGCUGUGACCACCCACCUUGAGACCACAGACCUGCUACCUGCUGUGCUCAUCAAUUGCUGCCUGAAUCCUGUGCCGG
rnacentral:lncRNA from 1 species